GUUGAGCUGUCCCCACAGCUUCUCUACAGACUCCAAAAGGCCCUUUUCAGGGCCCCCAAACUGUCACAGAAAGAGCUGUUAACACUUCCUAGAUAACGGACCAAGUCUAGCUCUGCCACCGAGGCUGGAGUGCAGUGGCACGAUCUCGCCUCCGCCUCCCGGGUUCAAGCGAUUCACCUGCCUCAGCUUCCGGAGUAGCUGGGAUUACAGGCCUGCGCCACCACGCCUGGCUAAUUUUUGUAUUUUUUUUUUUUUUGGUAGAUACGGGGUUUCACCAUGUUGGCCAGGCUGGUCUUGAACUCCUGGCCUCAAGUGAUUCACCCGCCUCCGCCUCCCAAAGUGCUGGCAUUUCAGGCGUGAGCCACCACGCUUGGUCUUGCUCUAGCUAUUCUAAACAUGAAGAAGUCAUAUAGCUUCCUUGGUGCGGUGGGCUGAAGUCACUCUAAGGGAGUUUCCCAGCCCCAGGGGUUAAAGAACUGGAGUCAAGAUUGGAACCCAGCUGGCGAAGGAUUCCGCACCGCUAGAUCUUGACAUUUGCCUCUUCUUCUGCCAGGAAGGCUCCCCUGUUCCUUUUUGCUGACGUGUCAUUUCUAAGUACUUUCUCCUACUCCAUAAAGACUUCAAUCCAGUCUCCGUGAUCCUUUGAUGUCUUCUGACAGAGCAAGUGAUGGCUCUCUAGUGAGUGACUUUGAUAAAAGCCUGUCUAGUCAAACCCCAGAAGAAACUGAACAUUGGUGGAUGAUGGAUUUGGGUUCCAAAUGGACUAUGAAUGUUGUGUCAGUCACCAACUGAAGAGAAUGUAUUCAUGGACAAAUAAAGACACUUGCGAUUUUAAUUGGGUACUCACUUGCUCAGAGUGGCAAGACAAAUUCCAGGAAACAUAUAACUCAGUCUAUCACCUUCAAUCAAUCCAGAUCACUUGAGAAAGCCAUUGUAUUAG
rnacentral:lncRNA from 1 species